rnacentral:RNase_P_RNA from 1 species
GCGAGGGGGUCGGGGGCUCUCGGGGUGCUCCCGAGGAAGUUCCGCCCACCGCACCGGGGCCGCGGUGCCGCAAGGCACCGGCCGAGAGGCCGGGCAACGGCGCAGAAACGACACGGCCUCCGGGGGAUGUGGAUGACGCGUGCGAAGGGCCCGGCGACGGUGCCCGAGCUAACCCGCGGACUAUCCCGGAGGAUGCGGUGAAACGGCCGUCCCGCGGGGUGCAAGGCCGAGAGAGGGGCGAUGAGUUCCCGGUGUGAGCCCCGUGGUAGGCCGCUCAGUCGAAUGCCCCCUUGAUACAGAAGGCGGGCUACGGCCCCCUCGC